GAUGAACGCUGGCGGCGUGCCUAAUACAUGCAAGUCGAGCGAACGGACGAGAAGCUUGCUUCUCUGAUGUUAGCGGCGGACGGGUGAGUAACACGUGUAUAACCUACCUAUAAGACUGGGAUCACUUCGGGAAACCGUAGCUAAUACGGGAUAAUAUUCUGAAGCGCAUGGUUCAAAAGUGAAAGACGGUCUUGCUGGCACUUAUAGAGGGAUACGGGCUGGAUGAGCUAGUUGGUAAGGUAACGGGUUACGAAGGGAAGGAGGCAUGAGCGAGGGGAGAGGGUGAUCGGCCACACGGGAACGGGACCGCGGUCAAGACGACUACGGGACGCAGCAGUAGGGAAUCUGCCGCAGUGGGCGGAAGCCUGGCGGAGCAACGCCGCGUGAGUGAUGGAGGUCUUCGGAGCGUAAAACUCUGUUAUUAGGGAAGAACAGAUGUGUAAGGAACUGUGCACAGCUUGACGGUACCUAAUCAGAAAGCCACGGCUAACUACGUG
rnacentral:rRNA from 1 species